rnacentral:lncRNA from 1 species
AAUUCCAGAAUGACCAAGAGCUCCGGGAGAGCUGCUGGGAGCCAUUAGCUCUGGCUGUGGAGAGCUGCUAACAAUAAGAACCAAGAGCUACUGGCUCUCGGAGUUCAGAGCUGUUAGCAGCACUGAGGGAGCUGCAUUUUGCUUUUCUACAAUUUCUAUCCAAAUUGAGCAAAAGAACCCUCAGCCAACUGGUAACAAUAGUAUACAAAUACUUAAACAAUCAUUGACACUAUUUCAUAUAUAUGAAAACAUAAUGUAAGCCAAGAAAUAGAAAUAAAAUCUAGUUACACACACGGAACCUUCAAAACUAUCCCAUUUUUGAAAAAUCAAAUAUAUACAAUAAAUUCCUCUGGUUGAUCAAAAAUUCUAGAACUUCUUGCUCAUUUAUGUACAAAUAACUGGAAAAAGUAAAACACUUUAUGAACACUUAUUUUAAGACUUGGUGGACACUGAAGAAGAAAAAGGAUCUCAUUUGAAUUCCUGAACGGUAAUGACAGAUUUGGAAUGAGGUGCAAACCGGCUUCUGAAGAUGAAUUUCAAAGUGUUACCUACUAAGUUUGUUUUUUUCCAUCUGUCCAAAUGAAUUUGAAAGAAAAUUCAGAUGGAUUCAUUAACCAUGUGAUACAGCAGCUGCAAAAUCUUUAGUCUACAAUUGACUUGUCUGCAGUGACGUUCCUUCCAGCUGAUUAAAUUCCAGGAACUUUUAAUGAGUUGCAGCUUUAUGUGUCUGAAUAAGCCAGCAAAGUUACAGACAGGUUGGAAAAGAAUUACAAGCACAAAAGGAUAAGAAGACACAAAAUGGUGUUGCUGCUUGACCACAGUAUUAUUUCUGCCAUUGUAGUGGUGUGUAGAUGAGUGCGUGGGCAACGGGUUUCCAUGUGCCCAAGACAGCAUGGAGCCUUGCACAGAAGAUGGGAAUGCUGAAUAGGCAGCACUUAUGUUGGUGUGUAUUGAAGCAUAGAAUUCCAAGGAGAGCAGUGCCACAUAGAAAAUGAAGGUGAACAUAUCCUUCAAGAAAAGUUAUACUUCAAAUGAAAAAAGCAGAUAUUCAUCAUAAUGCAAUACUUCAAAAUCUGAUUAAGGGUUGUGAAUGUUGGCCGGCUUUAUGGACCACCUCCACGCAACUGCCCAUAAUCUAUC